rnacentral:tRNA from 1 species
GGCUCGAUGGUUUAGUGGUCAUGGCGUAGAGCUGUCGAAAGGCCCGUCGUAGGUUCGAAUCCUAUUCGGACCG